rnacentral:lncRNA from 1 species
AGAUGGAGGCGAUGGCACGGCCCACGCUGCUCCUGCUGCUGGCCGCCGCCCUGGCCCCGACCAAGACCCGCGCGGGCUCACACUGGAUGCGGUAUUUCCACACCGCCGUGUCCCGGCCGGGCCUCGGGGAGCCCCGGUACAUCUCUGUCGGCUACGUGGACGACACGCAGUUCGUGCGCUUCGACAGCGACGCGGAGAAUCCAAGAUACGAGCCGCGGGCGCGGUGGAUGGAACGGGAGGGGCCGGAGUAUUGGGAGCGGAACACACGGAUCGUCAAGGGAAAGGAGCAGAUUUUCCGAGACAACCUGAGGACCCUGCUUGGCUACUACAACCAGAGCGAGGGCGGUGAGUGACCCCGGGUCGGAGGUCACGACCCCUCCGCGUCCCCACACAGCCCGGCUCUUCAGGGUCCCAAGUCCAAGGUUAGGAAGCAGAACCGACCCAGGCCGGUUUCCCUUUCAGUUUGGAGGAGUCCGCGGGUGGGCGUGGCUGGGGCGGGGCCGGGUCUGACCGCAGGGUCCCGCAGGCUCUCACACACUCCAGUUGAUGUAUGGCUGUGACGUGGGGUCGGACUGGAGCCUCCUCCGCGGGUAUGAGCAGCACGCCUACGACGGCCGCGAUUACAUCGCCCUGAACGAAGACCUGAAAACGUGGGCGGCGGCGGACUUUGAGGCACAGAAGACCCGGAGCAAGUGGGAGAGGGAAGGUGUUGC